rnacentral:lncRNA from 1 species
GCUGACCAUUCCAAUGCAAUGCUGUAAGUGGGAAGCUUGUGAUAUACACACAAGGAGAAAAGAGGAAGGAAGAGCAUCUGAUCUAGCCUGGGGCUCAGAGAAGGAUCCCUGAAGAGAGGCCUUGGACUAAUAAAAGUUGAGUAGGAGUUAUCCAAGGCAACAAGGAGGAGAGAAGGAGGGUAUUUAAGACAAUGAGAAAAAUUAAUAAAGACAUGGAAAUGCGAACCAUCUUGGCAUGUAUGUGUAUGCUGGGGUGGUUACAAAUUCUUCAGAGUUCUGGAAUAAAGUGUGAAAUUUGGAGUGAUGGAAAUAAGGCUGCUCAGGAAACAUAUAAAUUUAUAGAAGUUUUUACUUUAUCCUACAGCUGACGGGCAGCCAUCAGAAGAUCUAACAAGGCCCUGGACUGGGUGAUUUUAAGGCAAAUCUUGCUAGUCAAGGAACUAGUUAGGAUAGGAUUGGGUACAGUUUAUCGCGUAAUGGCUUUAGAUUGGUGAGUGCAGUGAGGUUAGGAUGCUGAUGUGAGUUUUAAUGAGUAUGCUUAGUUUUGAUAAUUUAACUGUUUAGUUGAUCCACAGCCUCAUCUUGCAAGGUGUGGUAUUUCCUGGAGCAGGCAACUAAGUUGUUUUUUCUUAGUCUCAAUGUUGUUUAUCACAGGCCCAGGAAGUGUGCAUGGUUUGAGCAUUUUUUAAUGUAGAGACAGGAAAUUACGUUGGUUUGGUUGCAGAAAACUAUUCAAGACUGACUUGCUUCAGCCCUCAACCGUCAAGCCACUACUCCCCACCCAUGUCACUGCAUUUUUGGCUGAAUAAAUCAGACUUUGAAACAAAGCAUUCGAGAAAUAGGGUUAUUGUGAUCCUGGGGAUUACCUGGUUGGGAGGAAUGAAUGAAUUCUGGAGUUAGAUCAACGGCUUUGGGGAGAGGCUGAGGGUUCCCACCUGUGGGGAUGGGGUGUGGUUUCACAUGCAGAGAGUUGAAGAAGAUGGAGAAACAGGAGUGUCGACCUCAAGAUGAAAGGAGAAAACCUUGGAUAAGAUACAGUGGGUCCUCUGGGAAGGAAACUCUCCUUGUUGAGGAUGCAGACAGAUCCAUCCCACUGCUGAGCUCUGGCUACCCUUUCCAGGACAGGAUUGUACUCCCGUGACACUAGUCUCCAGAGACCUGGUGAUAUUCAAGGUCUUCAUCCUUCUCCGGGCACCCCUACCUAACACUUAACCCUUAGAUGAGAUGAUAUCCUCUUGCUGCCCUUCUGCCAACCCUUCCCUGCAAUCGGACCUGACCUCUGAGAAUGCAGCUCCCCCCAGCCUGAUAUAGCUCAUCCCUCAUCGGGUGCAUCUGUGCCUAGCUACCCUGGUUCUGAUGAAGUAAAUAGGACACAUAUGUCACUGUGGAGCCUCAUGAGUCUCUUUAGAUAAAAAUAAAUUUGGAAAAUUGCAAAACCCUCCAGAGACAAUACCUUCCUAAUGAUUUCUGCCUUCUUUGACACCUCAUUGCACUGAUUAAUGGUCAUUCAAAUUGACCACCUGGCAUAGCUCACUGUCAAAAUAAAAAAGGACAUAUUUUAAAA